AUUGAACGCUGGCGGCAUGCUUUACACAUGCAAGUCGAACGGUAACAGGGAGCUUGCUCCGCUGACGAGUGGCGAACGGGUGAGUAAUGCAUCGGAACGUGCCGUGUAAUGGGGGAUAACGUAGCGAAAGUUACGCUAAUACCGCAUACGCCCUGAGGGGGAAAGUGGGGGACCGCAAGGCCUCACGUUAUACGAGCGGCCGAUGUCGGAUUAGCUAGUUGGUGGGGUAAAGGCCUACCAAGGCGACGAUCCGUAGCGGGUCUGAGAGGAUGAUCCGCCACACUGGGACUGAGACACGGCCCAGACUCCUACGGGAGGCAGCAGUGGGGAAUUUUGGACAAUGGGGGCAACCCUGAUCCAGCCAUGCCGCGUGAGUGAAGAAGGCCUUCGGGUUGUAAAGCUCUUUCAGGUGGAAAGAAAUCUCCUGGGUGAAUACCCCGGGAGGAUGACGGUACCAUCAGAAGAAGCACCGGCUAACUACGUGCCAGCAGCCGCGGUAAUACGUAGGGUGCGAGCGUUAAUCGGAAUUACUGGGCGUAAAGCGUGCGCAGGCGGUUGUGUAAGACAGAUGUGAAAUCCCCGGGCUCAACCUGGGAACUGCGUUUGUGACUGCACAACUAGAGUACGGCAGAGGGAGGUGGAAUUCCGCGUGUAGCAGUGAAAUGCGUAGAGAUGCGGAGGAACACCGAUGGCGAAGGCAGCCUCCUGGGCCAGUACUGACGCUCAUGCACGAAAGCGUGGGGAGCAAACAGG
rnacentral:rRNA from 1 species